rnacentral:rRNA from 1 species
GUGCCAGCAGUCGCGGUAAAACGUAAAGGACAAGUAAUACACAUAAUAGGUAUAAAGAGUUAGCAAUACUGAUUUAAAAAUAUAUAGAUAUAUUAUCCUAAAUUGCUGUUUAUCAGCAUUAGUAUGAUAUAUAUAUAUAUACCCCUAUCUCUAAAGGAUAGGGGGUAUUGAUAGAUCUAGAAUUUAUAAAUAAGUUAUUAUGAGGUAUAUGAGUAGCGGUUAAAUGUGUAAAUACAUAUAUAACAACCAAUAAAGAAGUAAUAUAACUAAUACAUAAAUUGACGUUGAGUAACGAAACUUAGAGUAUCGAAUAGGACUAGUCAACCUAUUAGUUUUAAGUGUAAACGAUGUAUACUAAUAUUUAUAUGAUAUAAUAUGGAUAUAAAGCUAAUGCGUAAGUAUAUCACCAGGGGAGUACUUUAUAAUCGAAGAAACCCAAAACAAUAGACGGUUUGAGUGUUAACAGUGGAUUAUGUUAUUUAAU